rnacentral:tRNA from 1 species
GGCCGCGGGAAGGAAGCAAGACCCGUCCGAAUGCCUGCGGCCACUGCCGUCUAGAUCUGAAAAUCGGAAGGUCGGCGGUUCGACCCCGCCCCGGGCCA